AGAGUUUGAUCCUGGCUCAGGGAUGAACGCUGGCGGCGCGCCUAACACAUGCAAGUCGAACGAGAAGCACCUCUUCGGAGGUGUGGAUAGUGGCGAACGGCUGAGUAACACGUGGGCAACCUGCCCCUCUCAUCGGGAUAGCCUCGGGAAACCGGGGAUAAUACCGGAUACUCCGACGCUUUCGCAUGGAAGCGUUGGGAAAGCUCUGGCGGAGAGGGAUGGGCCCGCGGCCUGUUAGCUAGUUGGCGGGGUAACGGCCCACCAAGGCUUCUAUGGGUAGCCGGGUUGAGAGACCGACCGGCCAGAUUGGGACUGAGACACGGCCCAAACUCCUACGGGAGGCAGCAGUGGGGAAUCUUGCGCAAUGGGGGCAACCCUGACGCAGCAACGCCGCGUGCGGGACGACGGCCUUCGGGUUGUAAACCGCUUUCAGCAGGGAAGAAAUUUUGUGUUGAGUGUACCUUUCGAAUAAGCACCGGCUAACUACGUGCCAGCAGCCGCGGUAAUACGUAGGGUGCAAGCGUUAUCCGGAAUUAUUGGGCGUAAAGGGCUCGUAGGCGGUUCGUCGCGUCCGGUGUGAAAGUCCAUCGCUUAACGGUGGAUCCCGCCCGAAACUGGCAGGCUUGAGUGCGGUAGGGGAGACUGGAAUUCCCGGUGUAACGGUGGAAUGUGUAGAUAUCGGGAAGAACACCAAUGGCGAAGGCAGGUCUCUGGGCCGUUACUGACGCUGAGGAGCGAAAGCGUGGGGAGCGAACAGGAUUAGAUACCCUGGUAGUCCACGCCGUAAACGGUGGAUGCUGGAUGUGGGGCCCGUACCCCUUCUGUGCCGGAGUUAACGCAAUAAGUACCCCGCCUGGGGAGUACGACCGCAAGGUUGAAACUCAAAGGAAUUGACGGGGGCCCGCACAAGCGGUGGAGCAUGUGGUUUAAUUCGAAGCAACGCGAAGAACCUUACCAGGUCUUGACAUACUCAUAAAUGUUCCAGAGAUGGAAAGAUAGCUAUAUGAGAUACAGGUGGUGCAUGGUUGUCGUCAGCUCGUGCCGGGAGAUGUUGGGUUAAGUCCCGCAACGAGCGCAACCCUUGUCGUUAGUUACCAUCAUUAAGUUGGGGACUCUAGCGAGACUGCCAGUGACAAGCUGGAGGAAGGCGGGGAUGACGUCAAAUCAUCAUGCCCCUUAUGACCUGGGCUACACACGUGCUACAAUGGAUGGUGCAGAGGGAAGCGAAGCCGCGAGGCGAAGCAAAACCCAUAAAACCAUUCUCAGUUCGGAUUGUAGUCUGCAACUCGACUACAUGAAGUUGGAAUCGCUAGUAAUCGCGAAUCAGCAUGUCGCGGUGAAUACGUUCUCGGGCCUUGUACACACCGCCCGUCAAG
rnacentral:rRNA from 1 species